rnacentral:lncRNA from 1 species
AUGUCUAAAACUUCUUUUACUGAUCAUUUAAAACUAAGUUUCAUUUUCAUAAUGAAAUCACAUGAAGAACCACAAAAUACUGGCAACGCCCACUGCAGAAAGGAAGUGGGUUAUUUCCACCACUCACUAGCCUUUCUUUUCUCUUUUUUUUUCUCCCUUUUCCCCCACUCUCUCUGCCUCUCAACUUGCAAAGGAAACACUUGGGUAAAUCCUAUUUGGCCAAAGUCAAGUGCACUGAAGACUGCAUUUGUUUUUCGGGAAGGUGCUGAGAAUCUGUGUCACUCAAGGCUGGAAAUCCUGUAUGGAUUUGAUAUAAGGAGAAUAUUAGUCAUCCAGAUAUCACCAGGCCAUCAUCAGAACAGUGAGAUUUCUGCGAUCAUGACUAAAUCCAGUCACCGUUGAUGUUCUGCUGACAUUUGGUCAUUUGAAAGCCAAAGCUUUGCAAGAAUAAUUGGCAAUGUGAGAACAGAACACACUUCAGCAGCGUAAUUUGUAACUUUUAAGUAUUUGGGCAUACGGCAUAUAGGCCUCCAUUUCUCCUCCUGCCCCAUUGCGCAAAUGUUGGUGGCGGGCUGGAGUGAGUGGUACCCGGAUCCAGGUGUCGGGGGGGGGCGGGGGGGGCUCUCCCUUGGAGUCCCGCCGCGCAAGACUCCGGGGAGCGGUCCGGCAGGUCCCAGAGGCCCCGCCCCCGCCGCCCACCUCCUUGGGAAUUGGCUGCUCAGGUCCUAG